CUUGCACCUGGUGGCGAGUGGCGAACGGGUGAGUAAUACAUCGGAACAUGUCCUGUAGUGGGGGAUAGCCCGGCGAAAGCCGGAUUAAUACCGCAUACGAUCUACGGAUGAAAGCGGGGGACCUUCGGGCCUCGCGCUAUAGGGUUGGCCGAUGGCUGAUUAGCUAGUUGGUGGGGUAAAGGCCUACCAAGGCGACGAUCAGUAGCUGGUCUGAGAGGACGACCAGCCACACUGGGACUGAGACACGGCCCAGACUCCUACGGGAGGCAGCAGUGGGGAAUUUUGGACAAUGGGCGAAAGCCUGAUCCAGCAAUGCCGCGUGUGUGAAGAAGGCCUUCGGGUUGUAAAGCACUUUUGUCCGGAAAGAAAUCCUUGGCUCUAAUACAGUCGGGGGAUGACGGUACCGGAAGAAUAAGCACCGGCUAACUACGUGCCAGCAGCCGCGGUAAUACGUAGGGUGCGAGCGUUAAUCGGAAUUACUGGGCGUAAAGCGUGCGCAGGCGGUUUGCUAAGACCGAUGUGAAAUCCCCGGGCUCAACCUGGGAACUGCAUUGGUGACUGGCAGGCUAGAGUAUGGCAGAGGGGGGUAGAAUUCCACGUGUAGCAGUGAAAUGCGUAGAGAUGUGGAGGAAUACCGAUGGCGAAGGCAGCCCCCUGGGCCAAUACUGACGCUCAUGCACGAAAG
rnacentral:rRNA from 1 species